rnacentral:rRNA from 1 species
CAAGUCGAGCGGUAAGGCCCCUUCGGGGGUACACGAGCGGCGGACGGCUGAGUAACACGUAGGAACGUACCCCAAACUGAGGGAUAAGCACCAGAAAUGGUGUCUAAUACCGCAUGUGAUCUUCGGAUUAAAGCUUCGGCGGUUUGGGAACGGCCUGCGCAUGAUUAGCUAGUUGGUGAGGUAAUGGCUCACCAAGGCGACGAUCAUUAGCUGGUCUGAGAGGAUGAUCAGCCAGACUGGGACUGAGAACGGCCCAGACUCCUACGGGAGGCAGCAGUAGGGAAUUUUCCACAAUGGGCGAAAGCCUGAUGGAGCAACGCCGCGUGCAGGAUGAAGGCUCUUGGGUCGUAAACUGCUUUUAUAUGUGACGAUUAUGACGGUAGCAUAUGAAUAAGGAUCGGCUAACUCCGUGCCAGCAGCCGCGGUCAUACGGAGGAUCCAAGCGUUAUCCGGAAUUACUGGGCGUAAAGAGUUGCGUAGGUGGCAUUGUAAGUUGAUAGUGAAAGCGUGCGGCUCAACCGUAUACACAUUAUCAAAACUGCAAAGCUCGAGGGCGAGAGAGGUAAUUAGAAUUCCUUGUGUAGGAGUGAAAUCCGUAGAUAUAAGGAGGAAUACCGAUGGCGUAGGCAGAUUACUGGCUCGUCCCUGACACUAAGGCACGAAAGCGUGGGUAGCAAACGGGAUUAGAUACCCCGGUAGUCCACGCCGUAAACGAUGGAUGCUAGCCGUUAUCGGUAUCGACCCCGGUAGUGGCGAAGCUAACGCGUUAAGCAUCCCGCCUGUGGAGUACGGUCGCAAGACUAAAACAUAAAGGAAUUGACGGG